rnacentral:rRNA from 1 species
CUACGGGGGGCUGCAGUGGGGAAUAUUGGACAAUGGGGGAAACCCUGAUCCAGCAAUGCCGCGUGUGUGAAGAAGGCCUGCGGGUUGUAAAGCACUUUCGGUUGGGAGGACUGCUUCUAGCACUAAUAUUGUUGGAAGUUGACGUUACCUUCAGAAGAAGCACCGGCUAACUCCGUGCCAGCAGCCGCGGUAAUACGGACGGUGCAAGCGUUAAUCGGAAUUACUGGGCGUAAAGCGCGCGUAGGCGGCUAGAUCAGUCGGGUGUGAAAGCCCCGGGCUUAACCUGGGAACUGCAUCCGAUACUGUCUAGCUUGAGUACAGGAGAGGAGAGUGGAAUUCCACAUGUAGCGGUGAAAUGCGUAGAUAUGUGGAGGAACACCAACGGCGAAGGCAGCUCUCUGGCCUGAUACUGACGCUGAGGUGCGAAAGCGUGGGGAGCAAACAGGAUUAGAUACCCGAGUAGUC